UAAGACGAACCGUGCAAACGUUGUUCGGAAUCACUGGGCUUAAAGGGCGCGUAGGCGGUCUGCCAAGUCCGGGGUGAAAUACUUCAGCUUAACUGGAGAAGUGCCUUGGAUACUGGCAGGCUCGAGGGAGGUAGGGGCAGGUGGAACUUCCGGUGGAGCGGUGAAAUGCGUUGAUAUCGGAAGGAACGCCGGUGGCGAAAGCGACCUGCUGGACCUCUUCUGACGCUGAGGCGCGAAAGCUAGGGGAGCAAACGGGAUUAGAUACCCCGGUAGUCCUAGCCCUAAACGAUGGGUACUAGAUAGUGGACUAAACAUGGGUUCACUGUCGAAGCAAAAGUGGUAAGUACCCCGCCUGGGGAGUAUGGUCGCAAGGCUG
rnacentral:rRNA from 1 species